rnacentral:tRNA from 1 species
GCCCCGCUUAAGGUUUAGAGCGUUUGACUUCUGAUCAACAGGUCGCGGGUUCGAGUCCCAGUUGAGGCA